rnacentral:rRNA from 1 species
UACAGAGGUCUCAAGCGUUGUUCGGAUUCAUUGGGCGUAAAGGGUGCGUAGGCGGCGCGGUAAGUCGGGUGUGAAAUCUCGGGGCUUAACUCCGAAACUGCAUUCGAUACUGCCGUGCUUGAAGACUGGAGAGGAGACUGGAAUUCAUGGUGUAGCAGUGAAAUGCGUAGAGAUCAUGAGGAAGACCAGUGGCGAAGGCGGGUCUCUGGACAGUUCCUGACACUGAGACACGAAGGCCAGGGGAGCAAACGGG